GGUUAACCGGUUCGCAAGAAGUGCAGAUGCACAUCUGGUUCCAAAUUUGUGCUUCGAUCGUAUCUAGCUGCCAGCUUGGUCGUCGACACGUUUAUUUCCAUAGUUGUGCUCCCAUUCUUGCUUCGCCGAUUGUUUCGUUUUGGUGCACAGCUGAUCUCGUUUGUGUCAAAUGCAUAAGGUUGUCUCAGGUCGGAGAUUUCCAGUUGUGCUCAUUGCGACCAAGACGAAGAAGACGACGACGAUCCGUCCACGACGACCGUCUCCUCCACGGGCGUAUUGACGCCACAACCCGCUAUGGGUACCUUGAGUUGGCCAUCGAGCAGAUGGCAGAGACCGCAGAUGCUAGCAACGCACUUGACCAUGGGCUUCACUACCUUCGGUCAACCGGCAAUGCAUGUGCGGCGAGGGCGCUGUUAUGGUGGGGAUGGGAUAACUCUGAUGCUCACGCUGGUAUGGCCACUUCCGUCGAACUUUCCUUGUUCUUGCCUCCUUCGGUGAACUUCCUCGGUUCUUGCCUCCUUCGGCAACUUCAUGUACUCACGGCCGAUGUUGCCGCCACACACCGUCUCUUGUGCUCCUCCUCCGGCGAACAUCCACUGCUCGAACCACCAUGGCGCUCAGCUACAGGGCGUCAUGACAGCAGCUCCCCAAGCGAUGCAAGCCGCCUGUUCGACGAAAUGUGUGAGAAGCAAAAUAGAGACAUCAACGAUGUUUUCAUGUGUCUAAUACAAAUUUAUUUUUUAAAACAUAGCCAGAUAGCAUUUUC